rnacentral:lncRNA from 1 species
GAGUGGUCAAUCCCAUCUUGACACACGCACCGACAAGUCAAGUACUUAACUACACCAAGCAGCCUUCCGUCACUGAAUUAGAAAUUCAGGUAGUCCAGUGCCUAAGUGCAGUGAGUUACUUGCAAGUCACCAUAGCGGUCUCAGGUCGGAGAGAUAUUUAUACCCAUAUCCCAUCGGAGCAAAUCUUGAUAGCAGAAAAAGCUCCGGAGUCGGUCACAUUCAGUGCAGAUGUACCCUUACAUCUCACCUGUAUGUCAUACCAGUGUCUCCACACUCCUUGAUUAAGAGAACAACCAACC